AGUGAACGCUGGCGGCAGGCCUAACACAUGCAAGUCGAACGGCAGCACGGCAGUAGCAAUACUGUGGGUGGCGAGUGGCGGACGGGUGAGGAAUACAUCGGGAUCUACCCUGUUGUGGGGGAUAACGUAGGGAAACUUACGCUAAUACCGCAUAAGAACUGAGGUUGAAAGCGGCGGACCGCAAGGCGUCGCGCGAUUGGAUGAACCGAUGUCCGAUUAGCUAGUUGGCGGGGUAAAGGCCCACCAAGGCGACGAUCGGUAGCUGGUCUGAGAGGACGACCAGCCACACUGGAACUGAGACACGGUCCAGACUCCUACGGGAGGCAGCAGUGGGGAAUAUUGGACAAUGGGCGCAAGCCUGAUCCAGCCAUGCCGCGUGGGUGAAGAAGGCCUUCGGGUUGUAAG
rnacentral:rRNA from 1 species